rnacentral:lncRNA from 1 species
ACUUUUUCGGUAUUUCUCGGUUUCGGUUUUUUUAUUUCGAUUACCAAAAUUCGGUUUACCAAAUCAUAAAUUUUCGGUCGGUUUUUGAUCGGUUUGGUAUUUACCAAACCAAGUGGCAGCCCUAGUCAUGACAAUCUCUUUUAAGUAGCCGAAUGAAACACACCUACCGUUGAACAUUAUAACAUUGACAUACGUUGGAUAUUUCGAUAGAUACAUUAGGUAUCACCUAACACUCUGAAGUAUUGAUACAUGAAUUGGUUAUUAUAUUACAUCAGAUAGCACAAAAUACGUAAAUAACUGUUGUCGACAAAAAAAAAAAAAAUAGAACUCUACCUGUAACAUCCUGGACCCAAUUUUACCUAUUUACUAGAUAUUCCACGAGUUAAUGAGGAAUUGAACGGUGCUCGGUAAUUUAGUAAUUUAACACUCGAGUUUAUUGUCGAGUUUUUCUCAAAAUGUUUAAUUCUUCUUUUAAGGCUUCUAGGUCGUAGUGCGCGUCGACACGAGUUCUCUGAUGUCCUCGGAUUAUUUUUGGGAGCUUCGGGCUAUUUUCUACGAUUUAUCAAAGAAUAUGGGUCGUUGAUCUUUAAUCAUCGAUCAUCUGCUAUCCAUUUAUGUUGUUAAUUAGAGGAAGAUGUUAAAUAGAGGAAGAUUGGUCAGACCCAGUCAAAGAACCCAAGUCGGGUUUGACCGAGCCUAACCGAGUCUCUCUCUCUCUCUCUCUCUUUCGUCUCCGUCGACUCUACGCCGGAGCGCCGCCGUCCGGCCACCCCAGGCGACGAGAUCACCGCUGUUCUCUUCCUCUCCUCCUUUCCUUUCUAGCCCAGCUCGUAGAUCACGCAUGCAACCAAGAUCGAUGGAGAUCGAAAGCUUGGGUGCUUCACUGUUGCUGUCGAUUUCCGGUGAGCUCCGACAUGGGCGACGACUUUGAAGGGUAUAUUCUUAUUCUCCUCACUUCCCUCUUCCUUGUUGUGUCUUUAAUCUUUUGAUUCAUGCCCUAAUCGGAGGAACCCCUUUUCUUCUAUUUUCUGGGUUCGGGUUCCAGCGACCUCCUUUGUUCUCUAGUGUUAAACCAUUUGCAGCAGAGGCUAGUGGAGGUGACCCGAGGUGAUGUGGUGUUGUGUUUGUGGAGAUGGCGACUGAGUAGAAGCUUCCAGGCGGGUAGCUUUUCGUUAAGGCUUAUGGGCUGUUGGUUUUGUUCUGGAAGUAGCUGAAGGUACUGCAUGUCGAUUCCAAGAAAGGAGGAGCCACUGGGUUCUUUGGUUUGGGCAGAUUUAAGGUAAGCUUAGUCUUUGGAGUUUUGGUGUUGGCUGGUGAAGUCUGUGUUAUUAAUUUGUGGCUGAAAUUGUGGUGAUCUAUUAUUGCAUGUCGGUAACUUGGUGUUUCGAAGAAUUCGGGGAGGUCAUGGCCAAUUUCCAGCAAGUGGCCGGAAUCCGGUAGAAUAUUCCGGUCAGUCACCGGAUUCCGACGAUGCUGCAGUUCUGGCAGAAUCCAUGAAGGUAGUUGUCGACUUUCCGUUUUCGUUUAAGUUAUAGUUUACGGUUUAGGAAAACCUGCCAUAUUGAGAAAGUUUCUAUUUUUGAAAACAUCCCAUUUAUGGAAAACCCUUUUUGGGUGCCCUUAGUAAUUUAGUGGUUUUCCGGUUUAAUGUGUUCCGUAUAUUUGAGUCUUUGAAUUUACACUAGUUUGGUUAAUCGUUUCCGAAGGUUGCCAAAACGAUCUUUUAAGCGUAAAAGUUGGGGAGCAUUGGUGUUUCAUGAAUUAUUUAAAUGACGCCAAGUGUGUAACGGUUAGUAGAAUAUUUGGUGAUUUGACUCGGAUCGUUAAGUCAAAGGUUAAUUUGGAAAUGUCCAAACUUCAUUAGUUGGCCUACCCUAAAUCAAUUGGUCAAAAUUGGUCAAUUCUGGUCAACCCAGGAAACCUAGCCAAACUAGGAAGAAGUUGAAUCGAUGAUUAUUAUGGAGUACGAUCUGACCAAUUUAUUCUUCUGUUUAUCAUCAGACGUGGAAUUGGUUAGAGAGUGUGAAUAGUUGGAGGCAGAGCUCGAGGAGUAUUGCGAACAUUGGAAGACUAAGGCCUGAUACUGUGAGUGGAAUUUUGUUUUAAAUAAUAUGCAUGCAAUGAUUGAUUUUUGAGCAAUUUAUUUUGUUGGAGCAUUUGACGUCAUUUUAUUUUAACGAUUUUAUUUCUUUUGAAGAGUUAUCGAAAAUGGGAUUUUCGGUGAAUAUAAUUAUAUAUUGAUGAGGAGAGUAUGUAUAUAAAUGCUAGCUAGCCAUAUGUGUCUGUCCACCUUAAUGGCGUAGCAUAUAGCCGCAUUAUGGUGUGACGUGAGCGUUGGACGUGAGCGUGAGCAUGAGCGUAGUAGCCCUAUAUGAGUGCUUAAUUCAUAUAGGGGGUAUGGACACAUUUAUACACCCGUCUGUUCACUUUAAUGGCGUAGUGUAGCACCGCAUUAAGGCGUGACUUGAGCGUUGGACGCGAGCGUAGUAGCUCUAUAUAGACCCAUGAAUUUAUAUAGGGAGUAUGGACGUGUGUAAAUACAUACAUAUAUUUUAGCCUGAGAGGCUCUAUUUUAUAAAGCUUUGGAGACUAGCCGGAGCUAGUCGUGUUAUUGUCAGUUUAUGAGUUGAGAGCUUUUGAGCUUGUUGCAUGCAUCAUAAUUUUUAUGGAAAAUAAAUGGGAAUGCAUAAAUAUUUUUAUUGAAUUCAGUUUUGUCCACUCACUCUAACGGUUUCAAAUGUUUCCCCUAGGCCCUUCGUUUUAAAAAUGCCCAGCUUGCAGGUUAGCUUAGUUGAAGUCGGGCGUACUUGGAGUCGAGACAUAAUUCGUAUUAUAGCUUCCGCUUAUUUGUUUUUCUGUCUCUUUUAUUCCUUUUAGAGUUGCUCUGAACCAAUGAAUUGUUUGAUGUGGGAUUAUAUUUAGAUUAGUGAAUAAGUUGGGAGGUGUUGUGAUUUGGGGAGCACGAAGGCUCCAGGAGUUUAAGGUUGGAUUUGGAUUUUCAUAAGUGUUUGCAGGUAUUAUUAGGAAGGGUUGUCCAUUUUGAAGGGAGGUUAUGCCGAAUUUUCGGUAAACUUUCCUUAGAGGUGGUCCCCGCAAAAUUUAUUCCGGGUUUGAGAGUGAAAUUCGAGGUGGGUCCUGACACUACCGAUGACUGUUCAUUCGGUCUUCUGUUUGUCAUCUUCUUGUGAGAUUGAGGAUGAUAUUGACACUAUAUCCAUCCUUCUGCGACAAUGAAAAAAUGUCGUUAAUACUUCUUAAGCAUAAGUGUCACGCCCCAAUUUUUUGAAAGAUAAUUUUUAAAAAUUUUGGCAUGAUCUAACUUUAAAUAAUAUAAUCCCAAAACCUGUUUCAAACAAAUUUCAAGAAAACUAAACUCAAUGCAGAAAAUGUAAAUGUUACACAACUCAACACUGAGUUAAAUAUUACAUUUCCUUAUUUACAUAAACUUGAAAGUCAAGAAAAUGAAAAUGCUCACAUGAGUUUAAUGUUGUCUACCCCAAAUAUAAAAAUAUACAAUAUACAACAAAACCCAAUAAAAAAACCCUGCCACUAAGCCUCCGCCUCAACCCUGCUGGUCCUCACCUGCAGGUCUAACCCCUACACCAAGACAUGGUGCACCGGGUUGUAAACAACAAACCCGGUAAACUAAAAAGCCCAUAUGAGUAAUUCUCAAAAUAACACAAAAACUUCCAAUUACCAAUUAUAACACAAGAACAAUUAUAUCAAUAAUUAAAAACCACAAAUCCAACACUUUUUCAAUUAACAUGUACCCAUGAGUCCCAAGUAUUAAUAAAUACCCCUCAUGACCUACAACAACAAAAUAUGUCCCAGAUACCCUACGGUAUCUCCCAUGACCUACACUGACAGACGGACUAGAGCACUAUUCCUAACCGUAACCAAUCACCCGGCCAAAGGCUUGGAACCCGGUUUGACUGUCUAAUAUCAAACACAAAAAUGAUAAAUAGCAUCUUAACCGCAACCAAUCACCCAAUUAAAGGCUUGGAACCCGGUUUGACUAUUUAUCCAACAAUCAUAAUAUCACAACAUUAUCCUCGACAACACAAUAUCACAUCAUUAUUCUCAACAACACAAUAUAGAUAUUCCACAAGAAUAAUCUAUCAAUAAUCAAUAAAAUUAUGAUCACAUGAAUCUCAAAAUAGCAUUUAAAGAAAACUUGAUUUAUCUUACCUAUGAGUUGUUGACGAUCAACCUCAUAUAUUUUUUAAAAACAAUUAAAAACAUAUUAUUAAAUCCAACAUCAUCAUCAUUAUCAUCAUAUGACCAUAAUAACAUUAAAAGUGAACCUUGGUGAGAUUUACUCACCUAAAUAUCCCGCUGCAAUUUCCACAACCGAAUAUAGCAAGCGAAACACAACUUCACAAAUCACCUAAAAUCACACAAUUAAAACCUUAGUAACUAAAUACUAUAGGUUAACACAAUACGUACCCUUAACUAACCCUUAGAUCAAGGGAGGACAACUUUCCAAAGUCGUCGAACUUAGAGACCCAAAAUGGCUGCCUCUAAUCCUCAAAUUCUAACUUCAAACCUCAACCAAGCCUAAUAACUAACUUAAUGUCCUAACAUACAAACUUUCCUCACAACUUAGAAAUUCUACAUCUCCACAAGCUCACCACAACAAGAGCUAGCUAAAACACAGCAACCUAAACCAAAACCACUGCCGGACGCACUGCCACGCGCCGCCACAGGCGGCGGCGAGUGGGCCCCACGCGCCACCAUAAACUUUCGAAUUUGAGAAAACUCUCAAUAGCAAAGUUGAAGCUUGAAGUAAGGAGAACAACUUUCAUACCUGAGACUUCAACCAAUUUUGGCCAGAACCGGCCGAAAACUGCCCCGAAACCCUAACCAGAAAUCAAACUCGAAACCUGCAAAUCCGGGCUCAAAAACCUCAAAACUUGAUUCAAUGUAUGCCUAGACACUACCAGGAGGAGGAGAGGAUUAAAACUCACCUAUGGUUGCCCCUCGUCGCCGCCGUAUACGGCGGUUCCGACCAGUGGCACAUCAGCGCCCUUUGCCGGCCAAACGCGUCAUUUUCGGCGUCCUACACCAAGCAGCAGCUGCCCAGCCUUGAAGAGGGCACCUGUGGGAGUCGAACGGGACUAGCGGCAGUCCAAUUGGUGGUCGGACGGCAGAGCUAGCUCCGGUGGAAGCUUGGUCCUCGGGAGGGCUCGGGAGAGGAAGAGAGAGAAGAGAGCGAAAAGUGAAAAGAGAGAAAAGAGAGGGGGGCUGACUUUUUUUAGGGUUCCAAAAUAACUCCCACACACAUUUUUCUACUUAUACACUUUCCAAUCCCGGAAACUAACUUCCUCUGACCAUAACUUUCUCAUAUGACACCCGUUUCAAGCGUGCCGCAUGUCUACGAACUCGUAACGACAAACUCUACAACUUUGAUGAAAGAAGUUUUUGAAGAUAACUUACAGAAAAUGUAACAUCCCGGACCUAAUUUUACCCCUUUUACUGAGUAUCUUAUGAGUUACUGAGGAAGUUAGCCAUGCUCGGUAAUUUGGUAAUUUAACACCCGAAUUUAUUGUCGAGUUUUUCUUAAAAUGUUAAAUUCUUCUAUUAAGGUUCCGAGGGUGUAGUGCACGAUGGCACGAGUUCUCCAUUAUCAUCGGAUUAUUUUUGGGAGCUUCGAACUAUUUUCUACGAUUUAUAAAAAAUCUGGGUCGCUGAUCUUUAAUCAUCGAUCACCUGUUGUCCAUUUCUGUUGUUAAAUAGAGGAAGACUGGUCAGACCCAGUCAAAAUGCCCAAGUCGGGUUUGACCGAGCCCAACCGAAUCUCUCUCCUCUCCCCGACUCUCUGUGUGUCCGUCGUCGUCCCUCGCCGGAGCAGCGCCGUCCGGCCACCCCUUGGCAACGAGACUACCACCAAGUGGUCCUCUCCUCCUUCCCAACCUAGCUCAACUCUCAAAUCCGGGAGGCAGCCAUUCUCGGCGGAGAUCGGAAGAGGAGGACAAAGCCUGUUCUUCCCAAAUUCCGGUGAGUUCCUGCAACGAAUCGACAGACCAAGGUCAGAUUCUUAUUCUCCUUCCUCUCCUCUUCUUUUUUGGGUUUGUUUCAUCCUGAAUCGAGUUCUAAACUGCAAAGCCCUUUUCUGCCUUUUUCUGGGUUUCUGGUUCCUAGCUCCGGCGACCUACGUUCAAUGGAUUUUCGGUGAGCUCUUCAAUGUUUCGAUGGGUUCUGUGAGCUUUGUGUGAAGUCAGGAUGGACCUUGGAGCAGUUGCUUGUUGGUCCGGGCUGAGGCAGAGGUCGGGUGAGUUAGGACUGAGAGGAACCGAAGUGUGGGGUGUUGUUUUGGUGGAGUUGGCGACCGAGGCAGCAAAUAUAAAUGGUUGGAGGUUUCUGCAGGUUGGGAUCCGGCAGGAGAGCAGCUAGACUAGAGUUAUGGGAUUGACUGAAGGUAAACUCGAUCUCCUCUAGUAUUUUGGAGCUGCUGUGUUGUUGUUGUUGUUGGUUGGUGUUUGAAUCAUUUAUUUUCUGCAUGAUUGUCGAUAACUUGGAGAUUGGAAGAUGCAGGGAGAUUAUGGUGAAAAUUUCGGCAAGUCACCGGAAUCUGACCAGUAUUUCUGGCAAGUCACCGGAAUCCCGAUAGGCAGCAAUUCCGGCAGAAUCCGUGAAGGUUGCUUGUCGACUUUUCUUUUCGUGUAAGUGGUAGUUUACGGUUUAGGAAAACCUGCCAUAUUUAGAAAGUCUCUUUUUAGGGAACUUUCCCCUUUAUGGAAACUUUCAUUCUUGGAAACCCUUUUGGGUGCCCUUAGUAAUUGUUAGUGUGAAGUUGGGUAGAAAAGAAAUGUUGGAAUUGUUGGUUCUAGUUGGCUUGAGCUAGGGGACCAUAAAAUAAUUUUUGUUAAUAUGAUUACUACCCAUAGUAACCCUAAACUCUAGACCAUUGGCUUCGUGGUGAUUUUGGAAGUGAAUUGCUUAGUGUGAUAAAGGCAUGGAAAUUGUUUGUGACUUUGAUUACCGGCUAAGGUUUGGUUUGGGACCGAAGGAGUUAUAGUUGUGAAAGUUAAUCGAAAUGAUUAUUAAUUUCUGUUUGUCAAACGUGGGUCAAGCCUGGUCAAUUUAUGGUCAACCUAAGAGAUUCUAAUCGAACUAGGAAGAAGUUGAAUAGUUAAUUUUUAUGGGGUCCGGUCUGACCGAUUUGUUCUUCUGUUUAUUAUCAGACGUGGUUUUUGGCUAUAGAGUAUGAAUAUUUGGAGGCAGCGCUCGAGGAGUAUUCCGAGCAUUGGAAGGCUUAGGCCUCAUACUGUGAGUGGACUUUUGUUUUAAAUAAUAUGCAUGCUAUGGUUCAUGGUCGAACAUUUAAAUUGUUGGAGUUUUGACGUCAUUUAAUUUUGACACUUUUAUUUCUCUUGGAGAGUUACCGAAAAAUGAGAUUUUUCGGUGAGUAUAAAUAUGUAUAUUGAGGAGAGUAUGUAUAUAAAUGCUAGCUAGCCAUAUAUGUUUGUCCACCUUAAUGGCGUAGCAUAUAGCCGCAUUAUGGUAUGACGUGAGCGUUGGACGUGAGCGUAGUAGCCCUAUAUGAGUGUUUAAUUCAUAUAGGGGGUAUGGACACAUAUUUAUACACCCGUCUGUCCACCUUAAUGGCGUAGUGUAGCACCGCAUUAAGGCGUGACGUGAGCGUUGGACGCGAGCGUAGUAGCCCUAUAUAGACCCAUGAAUUUAUAUAGGGAGUAUGGACGUGUGUAAAUACAUACAUAUAUUAUAGAGCCUGAGAGGCUCGACAUUUAUGAGAUAAAAGUUUUAUCGCUUGCAGCAUGCAUUUGAUUUUCCUUGGAAAUUGUUUUGGGGAAACAAAUAUUUUAUUCGUUAAUUUAUUUUUGUCCACUCACUUUAACGUUUCGUUUUCAAAUGUUUUCCCCUGGGCUCUUCGUUUUAAAAAUGCCCAAUUUGCAGGAUUGCAUAGUUGUGGUCGGACGUAUUUGGAGAAGAGGCAUAGUCAAUAUUGUAGCUUCCGCUCAUUUUUAUAUUUCUAGUUCAUUUCCUUUCAAAUAUAGUUGCUCUGAACUGUGGCUGUUGGCUAUGAGAUUAUCUUGUUUAAGUUGAUGAUUAAAUUGGGAGAUGUUGUGAUUUGGGGAGCACGAAGGCUCCAGGAGUUUAAGGUUGGAUUUGGAUUUUUCAGAAGUGUUUGCAGGUAUUUAUUAGGAAGGGUUGUCCAUUUUCAAGGGAGGUUAUGCCGAUUUUUUGGUAAACUUUCCUUGGAGGUGGUCCCCGCAAGACUUACUUCGAGUUUCAGGGUGAAAUUCGGGGUGGGUCUUGACAGAAAAUAAAGUCAACUUUUGGCCUCUUAAAAGUCAAAGCAUCUUAAAUAAACUCUUGAAACUUCAACUUCGCAUAAACCAAAGAAUUUCCAUAAAUAAUCCUUCAUUAAAUAAAGGCAUAAUACAAAGAAAAUUGAUAUGAAAAUCUAAGGUAUUACAAUAAGGAUCCAAAUUCAUAUCAUGUAACGAACCACAUGAUAGGGUUUAAACCUUAAGCAUUAGAAGUACCUUAUGAGAUCAUAUUAACUUGGAAGAUGAAGCAAGAUCUCUUUUUAGACAACAUUUGCUGUGAACAUUCCUUCACGUUCUUCUAUCGACCUUUCUUGACCAAGACUGUGGUGGUAGCUUUUGAAAGCCCUCGUGAUAAAGCUACGUAUAAGUGUCCAUGACUGAAUACAUGAUCCGGGAGGUGAAUACCGAUAUUUGGUAUUGAUUGCCCUUGGGAUUUUUUAUUAUAAGUGCAAAGCUCAACUUUAUAGGAAAUUGUUUCUUAUCAUCUCAAAAGGGAGUCCAAAAUUCUUGGUACUUUUUAAGGAGAUUCUUGGUAAAAAUACUCUAAUUUUGGCAAAUUGACCACUCAAAAUUUCCGAGUCAAUAAGGUUCCUAUACAAUCCACGACAUGUUAAUCUUCUACCAUUACAUAAUCCCGUCUUAGGGUCAAUGUUUUUCAAAAGCAUAAUAAUAGCGCCUUCUUUUAUAGUUAACUGAUGUGAGGGCAUACCAGAAAGUGAAAUGGAAUUCAAGAAUUCUUGUUGGUACAUAAUUCUGGUAUUAUCCUCAAUUGAGUCGAAAGAGUACAAGAUGUGUUCAUGCCCUUGAAUUCGUUUUAUAAUAAUCUCAUUUAGUACAUCAACAUCAUCAUUUUUUGGUGUGAUUAUUGCUCUUUCAACCAUAUAUGUUGAGUCAAUAACAUGGGAUUCCAAAUUAGGAAUGUAAACACGAAAAUUCCUAUAACGAAUAACAGAAAAACACGUGUGCAAAAUAAAAUAUUUGUAUUGAUGAAUUUGCGGGUUACAAUCUCUGUGGUAUUCUUUAACAAGAAUUUCCUCUGAUUCAAUCUCCGAUGUUUAUUUGAUCCAAGGGUGACGAGCACUUUAUCUUGAAUCGAAUGGUUUUAGUUUGAACUUCUUGACAAUUUGUAGAGGAUGAUUGACCAUGGGCCGUAGAGGCUUGUUCUUGAUUAGAUUUAGGCCACAAGUAGUAUCACGUGGUGAACAUUCUUUGGCUUUGAUAGCGGAUGAAUCGGUGGUACUUGUUGAUUCUCUACGAGCUUGUUGAAGAACUUGGUAGAAGUUUUGAUUUGUUGAAGAAUUGAAGAUGAGGGUUGAUCAAGAGCCAUGGAGGCUUGAUGUUGAUCGGAUUUGGGCCACGAGCGGUUCCAUGUGGUGAUUGUUCUUCGUUUGGAAGUUGGUGAAGAGUUCAACUAUUUGGAAGCUUGAUGAUUCUUCGGGAUUUGACAUCUUUAAGCCUUCAGAUUGGUGAAUGAAGUGGCUACUUGGGUGCUUGGUGUUCUUCACAAGUGUUUCAAGACUUCUGGCAAUAAUUUUGUUCUCUCUGGCUGGAAGUCCUCCUCUUGAUAUGAGAGGGGGUAUUUAUAGUGUCGAUGUUCCUCCGUAUAUGAAACGUAUCAAGAAUACCAUUUAAUUUUGUUUCCUUAAUGGUAUAAUUAAAUAAAUUAGUUUUGAUUCAAUGAUUCAAUUAUUAUUAUCAACAAAAUUAAAUCAAUUAGUCUUGAUUAAUUGGAUUUAAUUAUGACUGAUAAGGUAUAUAUCGAUUUGAUUAAAUAUCUGAUUUCGAUUACAACAAUCAAUAUAAUUUGAUUGACAUCUGAUUGACGGAUGACAUUUAAUGCUUGUGUUUAGUCGGGAUUGACGAUUUUGUUGUUGACUGAUCUUUCACACGUCGCCAUGUGUCAUUUCCAGAAUCUCUUUGGUAUUGUUGACUCACGGACCAUGUAUGCAUUUGUCGAGCACAUGCGUUGUAUGAAUAAUUCAACGAUUUUUAUUUUCGUUAAAUUUUAUGUGUCUAUAUGGAAAAACCUCAUCAAUUAGAUGGUUGAUUGAUUGUUCGCCGUCCCAUGGUAUAACCAUACAUGACGGUAAUUGUAUUAUUUCUUCAGCCACAUAUGGGUUGUUCUCCCAUUUCUAACAUCAAGUAAGAAAUCUGAGAAUUGUGGAUCGUUGAUGGAUCUUAUGUUUUGUCGUAAAAGAAGUAUUUUCACAUCUUUCCAAAACGAAGCAUUAAUCAUACUGGCUUGGACCAUCUUUGGCCUUGUACCUUUAGGGACAACCGAUAGAAUUUGUCAAAAAUCUCCGCCAAAGAUAAUUACUUUACCUCCAAAUGGUAAUUGAACUUAUUGUUAUAUCUUUCAAACUUUGAUUCAGAGCUUCAAACGCAUUUUUAUGCAUCAUUGAUGCCUCAUCACAAAUAAUAGUUGAUGAUCUCCGUAUUAAUUAUGCUAAAUCUGAUUGUUUACUAAUAGAGCAUGAGGAAGAUUUUUCAGGAUCCAAUGUAAUUUUAAACCUGGAGUGAGCCGUGCUUCCACCAAGAAGUAUGGUUGUUGCUAUUCCAGAAGUUGUUGUCGCUAGUACAAUAUGGGUUUUGCUUCUCAAUGUUGCGAACAAUGCACGAUAUAAGUAUGUUUUUCUACUACCUCCUGGACCAUCAACGAAAAAGAUGACAUUGUCAUUUUGCUUAAUGGCAGAUAUUAUAGUGUUGUAUGCAAAAGUCUGAUCUUGAUUUAGAUGAUGAACUGCAAUGAACUCUUUUUGGGGAGUAAUAACUGAAGCCUCAUCUUGUAUUACCCUUGGCACUGUUAAGUCUCGGUUAUAAUCAUGUGUGCCAAAUCAUAAUCUGAGAUAGAUAUAUAAUGUUGGCCAACAACUCAUUCAAGUCUCGCAAAAGUCUGUUUGUGGAAUGUAUAGUGUCUGCAAUACUUGAAGAAGUAUAAUCUUCUAUCAUAAAGUUGUAAAAUUGAUCCCACAAAUUUUGCACGCCAUGAGGCGUACAAUAAACUAAGAUGGUGGCAAACAAUCUUCUUAAAGAUGAUGUCAUACAUAUGUUUAAGCCUUCGUGUAAACAGACAAACCUUGUUACUCAGCAGCUUUCUUAAAAGUUGGCUGCAAUAUAUCAUUCACUGUUCUUAGAUAUUCAUACGAUCGAUGUAGGUCCUCUAACGUGAUUCAAAAGAACACGCAAGUAGAAUUUUUCUUCUUCUGAAGGAGAUAUUGUGUAUAUUCUACCAAUUGUCUUUUGGUUACUAUGUCUUUCUUCCCAUGCCAUGUUAUCAUUGUCCCAUGUUAAUUUUUCAGGAUAUUCUCAGUAUAAGUAUUGCCGUGCACUCUUACAUUUGCCGUUCUUAGCAAAAAAUUAUGUAAGCAUUGUCUUAGAGUUCAUGUCAUUAGCGAGGAUAUUUGUUACCCUUUGAUGAGCAUGAAAAUAAACAUUAUGUCUAUUAGGUAGAUGAAUUUGCAAUAUUCGGUUCAUUAAGAAUUUGAAUAUUCACCAAAAAGCCUCUGGUGCACAAACCCAUCUUGCAACAACAAAAUUUUUGAUUUCAUCUUCAUUACCUUCAUGUCGGACUGCAAAUGUUACUCUAUUUGGACCUUUGUAGAUAUACUUGUACAUAUACUUAACACUUUUAAUGCUACAACAGAUUUCAACGUUGAUAUGACAAUCAUAUCUUGCAAGUAACUAACGGUUGUAUGGAACAACCCAACUGUUAUUAACUUCUACAUUUGAGUGGAUGUCACGCCUACGGUAGUUGGGGUAAGAGUCAUUCCCUUGAAAUAUAUUGAUUGAAAAUGGUUUGGGAUAACCUUUUUUGCAACUUACACGUUUCAUACAUGGGGAAUUUGGCUUAUGGACUCCCCAUGGGACAUGUAUCAUGCGUCUCAAUACAACAUUGUGCAACUGAGGCUCUUCAUCUUGAUUUGGUAUCUCAGCUCGAACAAUUUUAUCAUAAUCAUCAGGGUUAUUUAGCUUAUCAUCAUCAUGUAACAUGAGCAACAUAUGAGCAUCUGGCAAACCACGUUUUUAAAAUUCGAUAACAUAAACGUAUACAAUGAUUUUUCCCAAAACCCCUUUUUUGAUAACAUCUUUUAACUUUUCUAAUUUGACACGGAAAAUCCGAGUACAUAAAUCUGGACGAUCUUGUGAUACUUGACCCGACAAUAAUUCCCCUUGUAUUUCUUCCCAAUUUGGGUUGCAUGUUAUCAUGACAAAAAUAUCUGGCGUUCCGUACUUUUGGACCAAAGCCAUUGCGUCUUGGUACCUUUGAUGCAUAUCACAUGGGCUACCAAUAAAUGUGGAUGACAAAAUAGUUCUUCGACCAAUGUUAUCUGUUUUAGUAUUAUGAUGUAAGUGCUUGUUUUAAUAGGGUUGUCAAAUUAACAUAAAUUAACAUAAUGUUUUACUCUUAUAUAACAAUAAUAAAACUUAUACCUGCAUUAUCCUCACGAGCAUUUAGCAAGUCGUCGAGUCCUCCAUAAAGUUUACAUCGCAGAUUUGGUUGAUGACUACGAAUAUAUCUCAGCUUUUGUGAUUCAAUUUUGACAUAAUUGUCAACGACAUACUAUUGCAAUAGGCUGCCUCCUUGAAUCAAAAGUGAGUCAUCAUAUGGUCGAAUCUGAAAUAAUAUAUCAGUUAUCACAAUGCUAAAAACAACACAUGUACACACACAUAUAUAUAUGUCUGUAUAUAUAUAUAUACAUACAUACACGUAUUUAUUCACGAUAAGAAGGUAAAAAUAGUUCACCUACAAAACAUAUGCAUAAUAGGCAUGACACGUCAUCUCACGACCGUUGUUGUUUCGACUGUUUAUAUCUCAUCCGUACGUACCAUAAGGCAACAACAACGGAUAUUGUAAAGGAUUGUAAUAGCUUGCGCAAUCUGGAACAUUUAAAAGUUGACAUGCUCUUGUCUCUAUCAUAAUAUCACGACUUCCUAUAUCUUCUGCAUCAUCUGCACCCACUAUUAUUGCAGCAACCUGAGACAAAGAAGGUAGACUAUAUUGAGGUUGAUUUGCAGGAUGCUCUUUAAUAAUGAGUCUGCAUGUUUCCAAAUCUUGACGUUGAGCUAAGUGAUGCAAAAUCUGGACAAAUGGAUUACAUCGAUUUAAAAUCUGCUGAAUAGUCUCAACCACAUCUCUGUGUAAUGUUUCAUUCUCUAACACACGAUUGUCCAUGUCAUGCUCUGUAUCGUAUAUAUACAACUGUAGAAAUUGUGGUCUGGUAUCCCCAUCUGGUAGAAGACUUGUACACCCAGUGAUGUGAAAGAAAACACAUGGUUGUAAGACCAUCUGCCAUCGUAUGCCAAAACCCUAUAUAUGGCUUAUUACACCCUCCCAUGGUAAGCCAUUCCACACAUCCCAAAAAAAAAAUUUGCCAUAUGUGAACAGUUGAACCCCAUAUAUACCGAUCUAUUCUCGUAAGCCAUACCAAGCUAAUUUUUUAUUAUUUUAUCUUUUUGUUCCAUCUUUAUCCUUGUUCCAUCUUUCUUAUUCCAACUAUAUCCUUGCUUAAUUAUAGUUAUAAUUUCAUUUUCCCAUUAAUCUUCAAUUUUAUAAGUUUUCUAAUAAUAAAAAUUACACCAUUACAAAAUACAGGACGAGAUCUUUCAUUUGAGUCUAAUAUUGAAUAUAUUUGGGUUAAAUUAGUUUAACACAUAAUUAGUUAUUACUUCAUAAAAGAUAAUAUUACACAUUAUUAAAUUACGAAAUUAAAUAAUGGCCUCUUCAAAACCUUCUCGGAUACUAGCUCCGAGCUUGGAAAAAGUACCAUACACACUUAUGCAAACAAAAUAACAAAACGAUACAUAAAUAACUACUAAUCAUCACAUUUAGUAAUUCGUCAGAUCAUCAUCAUCUCUUCCAUGUUCUGGCAUGAGUCCAUAUCCGCUAGGUGUCUCAGAUCCACCGCUAUCUCUGAAUUGUCGCGCUCCUCCAUGUGCAUCACUUGUUCCCGAUCCAUCACUUCCUCCAUAAUGAGGGACUCCACCAUAUCCAGCUGCUCCUCCAUGGUGAUUCCCAUAUCCACCAAAUGUAGUUCGAAAUUGAAAUGGGCUAGCAAAGUUACCAGAGUUGAAAGAUCCUUGUGAACCACCUUGAAAUUGGUUUAUGUUAUUGAAAUUACCAAAGUCAGAUGCUGCAGGUAGUUGUCGAGACUGACGAGCUCUUCUCUCCAUUAUCUCUGCUUUUCUCGAUCGUAAGUACUCACGCCCUUCUGGAUCGGUAAUUGUAUCCAAACUAGUAAGCAUGAUUUUGUUUUCCUCACGUUCACGCUGAAUAGCUAAUUUUUGAGAUGAAUUGCUCGUGCUUAACAGUAAAAGCAUUUCUCUCUAACAGACUUUUUUCAAAUAACUCUUUCAAUUCUUAAUUGGAUUCUCUGAUUUGUUUAGCAAUCUUGGUCUGCUCAUUGGCCUCUUUCCUUUUCAGCUUUGCUUUCUUUACACCAAUGGGUCGACGAGACGUGUCGAGUUCAUCAUUAUAUAGCUCUUGUUCGUCUUCAUCUGCAUUUAAAUCGACAUCAAAUGGUAGUGUACCUGACGAUUGUGAUGUGCGAGACGCUAAUUCAUAUCCUUCACUUGAAUAAUUUCUUUGUCGUGGUCUUGUUGAACUUCUACCAGUAUCGGCCCACUUUUCAGCAUCCUUAAGAAUAUGCCACACAUGAUCAAACUGAAGUUUCUUCUUUGUGAAGUUAGGAUCAUCUAGUAGAAUUUGUUUUGCUUUGGCACACUACAAAUGUCAACAAUGAAUAAUUGGUUAACAUUAAUUCAUAAUAUAACUUCGUUAAUAAAAAACAGCCUUUGAAAAAAUACUUACAAUAUCUUUCUCAUUUGCACCGCUUGGAUUGUCAUCCUCCACUUGACGAACAACACCACGAAAUUUGCUUACACAGUAAGUAAGAUCUACAAAUCGACUUUGAAGAGACUUGGAUGUUCUCGUCUGAUUCUCAUCCUUAUCUUGAUUCCACAAUUCAGUGAUCCUCGCCCAUACUUUAUCCUUCUUUUGGUUAACACCAUCGAUAGGAUCUUGAGAAAUUUCAAGAUAUAUAUGACAUAAGAGUUCAUCUUCUUGGAUCGAAAAAUUUCCUUUUUGUUGGACAACUUUCUUUUGCCUAACAUCUGCCAUUGAAGUGUAUAAUGUGAUUGUUGUGGAAACAACGGUGUGAGUUACUGGGAGAAGAAGGGGUGUAUAUAAGGUCUGAAUCCGGAUAAGGGGAGAAUUUGAGAUAAGGAUCUAAUGGUUUGAGAUAGAUUUGCUUUACUAGAUCUAAUGGUCCGUAUAUGACGAUAUCUUCUUGAAAAAUGCAAUGUGUAGUCUGUCACCUUCUUGAAAGAAGUGUUGGACAUCUAUGCAUCUUGGUUAGAGUGACAAUAAUGUAAGUUGAAGGGAAAUAAUGUAUAGUGAUGUACUAGUAUAUUUUAUAUGAUAUAUGAUGUAUUGUAACAUUGAUAAAUUGAUAAUUAAUCAUAGAGUUAACAAAAGAAACAAGACAUAAGAAAUAAGUUAUCACUUUUAUUAUCCUUAAAAUACAAUCGGAGGGGACAUAAAGCCAAUACUCCGAAGAAAUUGCAUAGCAAAAUAAACACAACAACUUCAAUGAUAUGAUAAAUAUAGUAUUGAACAUUCUUCACCCAUGUAUACCAUGUCGGUUCCAUUGAUGUUCAAUCAACACGUUCCGUAGUGCAAUAUGAGCUGACUUGUCUUUAAUUUUCCUAUAUCGAGCAAGGAACUCUUGGAACCAUGUAUCUUCAUUACUUACCAACUCAACGGAUAAUGGAGGAGCCCGGUUGAAAUCUUUAAUCAGAGCACUUAGAUCACGCUCAUCUUCGAUUAUCAUGUUAUGCAUUAUGAUGCAUGUAGUCAUUAUAUCAUGCAAAACAUAUUUAUCCCAAAAACGUGCAGGUCCUUUCACAAUUGCCCAACGUGAUUGAAGAACUCCAAAUGCUCGCUCAACAUCCUUCCUACAUGACUCUUGAUUUUUUGCAAAAUGUGCUUUUUUUGAAAUAUGGCAUAUGUAUGUUGCUUACCGUGGGAAGCUCGGUUGAAUCAUUCCAUAGCCAUAAUAGAAUAUUCCAUUAUGAUAAGCCAUAAUGGCCUUUAUGGCAUACCCAUUUUAGCAUCUCGUGGCAGAUGCUCUAAGCACAAAUAUGUUGUCUGAAAUGAGCACCUUUUGGAGUUUGAGCAGAAAAUAGCUCUACCAUUUCUGGAGGACACUGAAUUAGAGAAACUAUUGUUUUCCCAUUUAGUAAACACAUUUCAUUGCUUUCAUGAUGGAAUAGGCGAGCAUAACAAUAUCGACAUGAUUUUGGUCUCGGCAAAUGAUAUUUUGUGACUAACAUUUUCAUGAAAAUUGCGGGCGCAAUUAUGAGAUACGCGUCGUCUACUUCUGCGACGUACUCGCGCCACACCAUUAUUAUAAGACAUGUCAAUUUGGAGAAUGACAUAUAUGAUAUUUCCUGUUAAUGUUAAAAAAAAAAAGAAAAAAAAAAAAAAAGUCAAUGCCACUAACUACGUAUAUUACGUAAUAAACGUAUUGUCACACCCCAAUUUUUGAAAGAUAAUUUUUUAAAAAUUUGGGUAUGAUAUACCUUAAAAUAUUAAAAUUCCAAACCUAUUUUAAACAACUUCAAAGAAACUAAAACUCAAUGAGGAAAUGUAAAUGUCACACAAUUCAACAUUGAGUUAAAUAUUACAUUUCCUUAUUUACAUAAACUUGAAAAUCAAGAAAAUGAAAACACUCACAUGAGUUUUAAUAAAGUCUACCCCAACUAUAAAAAUAUAUAGAGUACAACAAAACCCAACAAAAAACCCUGCCACUAAGCCUCCACCUCAACUCUGCUGAUCCUCACCUGCAUGUCUAACCCUUAUAUCAAGAAUUGGUGCACCGGGUUGUAAACAACAAACCCGGUAAACUAAAAAGCCCGUAUGAGUAAUUCUCAAAAUAACACAAAACCUCCAACAUCCAAUUAUAUCACAAGCAAUUUAUAUCAAUAAAUAUAUCCAUAAAUCUAAUACCUUUUCAAAUAACGUGUACCCAUGAGUCCCAGGUAGUAAUAAAUACCCCUCUUGACCUAUAACAACAAAUUGUGUACCCAUGGGUCCCAGAUACCAUAACCUAUCUCCCAUGACCUACACCGACAGACGGACUAAAACUCUAUUCCUAACCGCAACCAAUUACCCGGCCAAAGGCUUGGAACCCGGUUUGAUUGUCUAAUAUCAAAACACAAAAGUGAUAAAUAGCAUCUUAACCGCAACCAAUCACCCAAUUAAAGGCUUGGAACCCGGUUUGGCUAUUUAUCCAACAAUCACAACAUCACAACAUUAUCAUCAACAACACAAGAUCACAUCAUAUAUUAUAUCCUUCCACAUAGAUAUAUUACAUGAACAAAUAUAGAUAUUUCACAAGAAUAAUCUAUCAAUAAUCAAUAAAAUUAUGAUUACAUGAAUCUCAAGAUAACAUAUAAGGAAAACUUGUUUUAUCUUACCUAUGAGCCGUUGGCGAUCAAGCUCAUAUAUUUUUAAAAACAAAUAAUAGCAAAAUAUUAAAUUCAACAUCAUAAUCAUUAUCAUCAUCACAUGACCAUAAUAAAAUUUGGUUCAAAAGUGAACCUUGCUGAGAUUUACUCACCUCAAUAUCCCACUGCGUUUCCGCAAAACACAAGAGUCAAGCUAACCACAACCUUACAAAACAACCACAAUUAAAAACCUUAGAAAAAUCACAACAAGGAUCAAAGUACCCUUAACUUAAAGGUUGCCCAAAGAAGGGCAAUCCUUCCUCCAAGACGUCCCAAGGUCAUUGGACACUCAACAACAACCAUACUACCUCCAUGAUCAAACUUUCUAAGUUUCCGACCAAACGAACACCAUGAACAACUUAGCACCUAAGAUGCAAAAACCUAAUCAACACUUAGCCAUCACACACAAUCAACACACUAGCAACUACAAGGACUAGCUAACACAGCAACCAAAGCUCUCACACUGCCCGUACGCGCUCCCACUCGUCGCCACAGGCGGCGGCGAGUGAGCCUCAAGCGCCUCCAUCAAACUUCAAAAUUUAGGGAAACUCAUAACAUGAAACUUGUAGAUUGAAGCAUGGUGAACAACUUUAAUACCUGAGGUUUUAACCAAUUUGGCCGGAAUCGGCCGGAAAAAGCUCCGAACACCACACCGAAUCCAAACUUCCAAAUCUGCAUAACCGGGGUUCAAACACUCCAAAACCUGAUUCAAUCUAUGCCUAGUCAUAACCAGAAGGAGGAGAGGACCCAAACUCACCUAAGAAGGCCCAUCGUCGCCGCCGUAUACGGUGGUUCCGAUCACCACACAACAGCUCCCUUUUUCGGCCAACAGCUCCUUUUCCGGCGUGCUAUGUCAUGCAGCAGCUACCCAGCCUUGAAGAGGACACUUGUGGUAGUCGAACGGGACCGGCGGUGGUCCAAACGAUGGCCGGAUGGUGGAGCUAGCUCCGGCGGAAGUUGGUUGCUUGGGGUGAGCUCAAGAGAGGAAGAGAGAGAAAAGAGAGAGAAGAGAGAGAGCUGACUUUAGGGUUCCCAAAAAUAAAUCCCACACAUUUUUCUACUUAUACACUUUCCAAACCCAGAAAUAAACUUCCUCUAACCAUGUCUACGAACUCGUAUCGACAAACUCUACAACUUUCAUGAAGGAAGUUUUUGAAGAUAACUUACGGAAAAUAAAGUCAACUUUUGGCCUCUUAGAAGUUAAAACACUUUAAAAUUUACUCCCGAAACUUCAACUUCGCACAAACUAAAGAAUUUCCAUAAAUAAUCCUUCAUUAAUUAUGGGAAUAAUACAAGGAAAAUUGAUGUGAAAAUCUAGGGUAUUACACGUAUACUGAACAAAUAUAACAAAUUACAUAGUGACACUAUGCCAAUAACAUCAUCAGAUAAAAGGGGCACGACAUAAAAAACUGCAUUUCAAAACAAUGUUGUCUGAUGGUUUUUUUGGUUCUUUAAACGACAUAAAUUAUAAAAGUCGUCUCAAUGGCAUGAUACUUUAAUACUUUUGAAUGUUGCUUCAUUUUUUCUAUGUAGCGCCCCGGACUUUAUUUGACCAUUUACCGUCACUUGGACCGUAAAUGAGCAUCAUGUUUUUACUUUUACCUUCAUAUUCAAGCUUUUAGUGGCUCUAAAAUUUGACUUUUUCCUACGUUCGAAAUUUGAGAAAACUUUCUUUAUGAAAGUCGUAAAGGACGUUAAACCGAGUUUGUGGAUAUGUGGCACGUUUUAAUCAGAGUUUGUACGAAAAAGUUACAAGUGUCACACCCCGAAUUUUGGAUAAAUAAAAAUCCAAAUUCAAGGCAUGAUAAAAAAAAAAAAAAUGUCAUAUAAAACAUUCUGACGUUUACAUAACUUGAGAAGUCAAGUAAAAGUCACGCUCUAAAGAGCUCACUACAAAUUGAUAAUCAAUAAUAAAAAUAUUCAACUCCUAACAAAGCAGCUUCUAGACCUCAACGUCUCAAUCUUGAAAAAUCUCACCUGCAAAAAUCAAUCUCUACACAAUGGAUUGGUGCACCAGGUUGUAAACAACAAACCCGGUAAGCUUUAAUAGAUCGUAUGAGUAAAUCUACAUUAAAAGUCUCAACCCAACAUGUAAUACCCUUAAUUUUAUAAAGUAUCAUCUCUUUAUUUGGGCUAAUAUGUUCUACAUACAUAUACACCUGUAUAUAUACAAAGUUCAUGUAUUAAUAUAAGAUAAAUAAAAGUAGUCGAGUAACCACAAGGUAUGAGCUCGGUUAAGGGCAAAAUGGUCAUUUAACAAUAAUUAUGUAUAAUUAAAUUACGGGUUCGUGAAGCUUCGGAAAGGGAGGUCAGUGUUGGAACUGACAUGGAGAGAAUUUAAAGGGGACGAGGUUUCCAGAGAAAAGGGGGGAGAGCUCGAGAAGCUUCAAGGCUUCUGAACCCCUAAUCGGGAAAGAAAAUGCCUCAGUCCAUGAGGUGGACAGGAAGAUCUCUUCCAAUUUCUUUCUUCACUGCGGUGUCGCCACAAUUUUGAUUACUCAGUUGAUGGGUAUUCCGACUACGAUCGUUUGUACAUGAGGUGAGAGACUCCAGACUUGAUACUCAUGUCAAGAUCUAUGUCUGGUAUUUGUUUUAAUCGAGUUUUGAAUGAGAUUAGCGAAUUCUGGGAACUAUAUUCCUUGAAUUACUUGUGGGUCAGGGUGUCACACAACAUCACAUAAGAUAAAACCGGUAAUUCCUGUAUUAGAAACUUAGUUCAAGAAUUGUCUAAAAACAAGAGAAUUCAAAAGAGAGUAAAUAAGAAAACACAACAAUUCACAAUCAAUCAAAAUCAUAAAAGAAUCCUACAAAAAGUGUAGUUCAGGAAUUCCACUAAAAAUCACACAAUUAAGAUUAAAGAAUCUCCUGCGGAUAAGCAUAGUUCAGGAGAUACUCAAAGUAAGGAAUUUAAAUGACAACACGUAAGAACAUUACACAAUCAUUUCUCCACUCUUACUUAUGAGUUCGUCAACACUUCUUCAUCCCCCAUAAGUAACUAGACAAACACGUACUCAUGGGUUCGUCAACACAUAGUCAUCCCCCAUGAAGUACCGACAGAUAGACUAGAGCUCUAAACUGACCGUAACCAAUCACCCGGCCAAGGCUUGGUUCUCGGUCCACCAUGAAGGCUCCUAAUCUAAUGCACACAAUUACCACUAAGGCACACACAUCCACAACUAAUGCACACAAUUACCACGAAUGCACCAUUCCACAACUAAUGCACACAAUCACUACAAAGGCACACAUCCAAUUACUCUCCCAUCAUGAGACUUAUCAACCUCAACAUGCUACUACACCAUCUCAAGAAGAGUAAUAGUACACAACAACCGAUCAAAGCACAAACAAUAACCAUAUUUCAACAUCACAAUAUCCCAUGAUCACAACGUACUUUUCACACAUACACACAUGUGGAUAUAAUUAUUUAAAGUAAGAAUAGUCUACCAACUCCAAUUAUGACCUAUGAUCGGAAGUCCUUUUGAGAGAUUUUAUUUUUAUCAGAAAACAUAUUUUCACUUACCCAUGAGCCGUUGACGAUCAAGCUCAUUUAUACUUAAAAACAAAAUCAUUUUCCUUCAAGGACAACUUCACAAUUAACAAUAAUAAACUAUAAAAUAAACUCGGUUCCUUUAUGAAUCCAUGUGAGAUUUACUCACCUAUGAAUCCCGCUGCGUCUUCACAAAAACACACAGACCAAGCUCAACACCAACUCCACAACUUACCUAAUUAACACAAAUAUUAACCUUAGUAACCAAUCAAGCUAAAGAGUAACAUUUGCCCUCUUAACCCAAAACUUAAUCCGAAGGUUUGCCCAAAGGAGGGAAACUCUCCUUCGAGACCUCCCAAGGUCCUCGAUCACCAAAAACAAUACCUCAUGCAACUGCCAAAAACGGCUCCUACAUUCGAAAUCACAAACUCAACAACCUCACACCUCAUCGAAAUAGCUCCAACAAUAAGCAUUACAUGAUCUCAACCUAAUCUUAUAAUAUAUCAACAUGCUCAUAACAACAAGAACUAGCUAACCAUUGCAACAUAAUCUACACACCCUACCAGACGCGCUGCCAUGCGCCACCCAAAACUUCAGAAUCUGAACAAACUCCCAACAUCAAACUUGUAGAUUGAAGAGAGGGAAACAUCUUUUAUACCUGAGGCUAAGUCCAACUCGGCCUUAAACCGCCCUAAACAGCCGCCACAAGCUCCGAUCUUCACACUAUAAUUUGGGGUUCAAAAACCCAGAAAUCAGUCGCAAGGAUGGUAUGAACGUGCUAGGAAGGAAGAAUACUUCAAGAAAUGGGUAGCCUUACCUCUAGUCGUUGCCGUACACGGCCGAAAAAUCCUCAGGUCGAAGUCGGGUCCGCCACCCUCACUGUGGCGUUCGAUUCUCGAAAUCCUACUCGAGUUGUCCUCACCCACCUACACAGGGAGGAUCACACCGAGGAGAGGAAGAAAACUUACCGGUGUCGGCGCCUAGGUCGGUCGGAGGUGGCCGGAAAAGCCAAGUCGGGCCAAUCGGGUUCGGGUCGAGUCGAAAGGAAAUUUCAGUUAGUGAGGGUGAGGCGCGAGAGAGAAGGAAGAGAGAAGGAAAUGGGUUCCAGAAAAAUGAAAUGGAAACCCUAAACUUUACUUAUUUAACCCAAAAUCUCUUAAAGCCACGAACUUCCGCUGACCAUAACUUUCCCAUACGAAGUCCGUUUUACGCGUGCCACAUGUCUACGAACUCGCAUCGUCAUGCUCUAUAACUUUUGUGAAGGAAGUUUCUCGAGAAACCCAACAGAUUAAAAAGUCAACUCUUGACCCUUCAAAAUAAAGCAAUUUCAAGAAAUUAAAUGCUUGAAUACUUCCAGUCCACUCACUAAACCACAAAUCCACACAACUCCUACUUAGAUAAUUUCCAAAAUAAUAUUAGAAAUUAGUAUCGAAUUUCCGGGGUAUUACACAAGGGUUUAAAGUCAGGGGCAGUUGGUAAUUUCGCAGGAAACUCAAGUUCUAUAAAUAGCAAAUCAAACCCCCAUUUCGGGAUAAUUCCAGAAAUUGCCAAGAAUUUCUAGAAUUGCUGCCGGAACUUCUCGGCCACGUUGGCGCCAAUUCCAGCCAGCUUUGGUGAUGAGACCAGUCCCAUUCUCUUUGUCUUGGAAUGAUCUUUCCAACCAUAUAUACCAUGCAACCUCUUUCUGACCGUAUGAGACGAAUCGAAGGGAAGAAGGUAUGACUAUCUUUUAGGCUAUUUUUCAUAUUCCGGCCAACUCCGGCCAAAUUGGACGAUGUGACUAAUUGGGAUUUGUUCAUCUUGCCAAGCUCUACAGAACCUCCAAAGGGUUUCCAUCGAUUUGCAAGGUGGAGAGAGAAUCGACGAAUCCAAAUUCUAGGGUUCAUAAUUUGGGGAUAUUUCUUGACAAGGUAAAUUAUGUUACUUACACUUGAAAUUGAUAUUCGUGCUAGUUAAGGAAGUUGUUUGGUUUGUUGAGAGGACCGUUGUAUUAAAUUUUGGUGGCGAUCGGAGGUGGUUGGAGUUUGGCAGUGGUCGGCCGCCGCUGCCACUUUUGGGUUUUUUUUUAGUUGUUUAACUUGUUCAUGUUGAGAGGAGUCUAAUGGUAUGAAAUUUGAGAAUUUUGGUGAAGUUUUGAAUAGGUAUGGGAUUAUUCGAAGUUUGGUUUUAUCGGUGUGUUACUCGAGAAGAUCCUACCGUUGGAUUUCCCUUAUUUCUGUUUUAGAAUGUUGAAAUAAAUGAAAUAAGGUUGCAAGUGGAGUUUGGCAUGAAUCCGAUAAGCUGAACCCUAGUAAGGGUAGUUGGUUAAGUGGAAGUGUUUUGGUGUUUAUAUUUAAGUAUUCAUUUUUCUGAAAUUGAAGUUUGGUCCUAAGCAUGAUUAUUGUGCCAAGAUAUGAGGGGACCUUGCUUGAGUGGCGAUUCGGGUUUCGUCAGGCUUAGGCCUAAAUUUAUGAGUGGACAUUUUGGUUUUUCUUAAAUAUGCAUGCAUGACUUUAUAAGUUAUCGUUAUUAUUUUUAUCGAACUUAUAUAUUAUAAUUUCGGCUUACGACUUGGAUCAGAAAUUAUUUGAGAUCGUUAAUGAUUUAUGGAUUUGAGCUUGAGUUAUUAAUUUGGUAUUUGAGUUUUUCUAUUCUUUAUGAUUCCCAGAUUUAAUUAUUAUCAUCAUUACUUGUUGACUUUGAGAUUUAUAAAAGAUUACCAAAGACGGGAUUUUCGGUAGGUCUCUAUUUAAAAUUUUCUCGUUUAUUUGUGGAUGUUCGAUCUUGACAUUGAGAAUAUUUUAGCGAGUAUUUCGGGUUGAGAAAUUAUUUACGAUUUAUACUUAAUAAUUAAAUCUCGUUUAUAAUUAUAGAUUUGAGAAUAUUUUGACGUGUGAGACAUGCCAUUGAGUUUUAUUAUAUUGUCUUAUGAUAAUUUCCAAGUAUGGUUAGGAAUUGUACUCGUGACUGCAGUUGCACGAAAUUGGGGAAGCUUUAUGGAUUUAGAUGUUUUCGUAUGAUUUUAGUCACCAUACUAGGGUCGCUCUUAUUCAUUGCUAGCUAGCCUCUAUUAGCGGUCAUCACUAUAGGUGAGUCGAGCGCUUAGCGUGGGACGCUACUAUAGCCUGGGAGGCUCUGAUCGAUUUUUAUUCAUUGCUAGGUAGCCAUUAUUAGCGGUCCUCACAAUUGAUGAGUUGAGCGCUUAGUGUGGGACGGUACUAGAGCCUGGGAGGCUCCUCUUAUAUGGUGAUAUCUCUUCCCCUUGUGUAAUUUUUCUCAAGUUAUGUAUUUGAUUAAUCAACAGGGUUGGUUUGUCUAUUCUUACGUGAUUCUGGACAAUAAGCCGAAUGUUUGAUCAAGGUUGCUUCACUAUGCCAAUAACAUCAUCAGACGACACAAGAGGCAUGACAUAUAAAGCAGCAUUUGAAACAAGUGUCGUUUGAUGGAUUUUGUGGUUUUUUAAACGACAUAUAAAAUGUAAAAGUCAUCUCAAUGACAUCCUACUUCAAUAUUUUUAGAGGCUAGUUCAUUUUUUCUAGGUUUGUAAAAAUCAUAUGAUGUAUAGGUGUGGUGUCAAAAAACACAGAAAUUCUCACUUUUAGCUGAAAAUUGAGACCUCGUAUAUAUGUUGUGUGAGAAAGACUGUCUAAAUCUAAUUUUUAGCUCUUUCAAUGUACUUCUGAAGACGACAAAUAUAUGUCGUCUGAAAGAAACUGAAAUUUUCAAUUCGAACUUAGAAAUUCUCACUUUUUGCAGAAAAUUGAGACAUCAUAUAUAUGUUGUCUGAGGAAGGCUAUCCAAAUCCGGUUUUUAGCUAGCUCUUUUAAUGUACUUCUGGAGACGACAAAUAUAUGUCGUCUGAAAGAAACUGAAAUUUUCAAUUCGAAUUUAGAAUUUCUCACUUUUUGCUGAAAAUUGAGACCUCAUAUAUAUGUUGUCUGAGGAAGGCUGUCCAAAUCCGGUUUUCAGCUCUUUUAAUGUACUUUUGGAGACGACAAAUAUAUGUCGUUCGAAAGAAACUGAAAUUUUCAAUUCAAAUUUCCCUGUGCAGAGUUUUACUUAUGAGACGAUGUAACACCCUGACCUAGGUGUUAGAAGAAUAAACGAAUAAAAUAAAUAAGGAAAUCCUAAAUCGAAAAUGAGAUAGGAUCUCAUUAUCAAUCAAAACAACAAAGCAGUUUUUGCUGCGUUUAGAACCUAAAUUUUAUUUUGUUUAUUUACGGUUGCACCCAAAACAUUGAUCAGGCUGCCUAUGUACCCUUUUUAAAGGGAUUAAGCCACUCGUAGUUCAACAUUUUAUACUAUUUCUCUAUGCAUCGGAAAAUCCGAAGCUUAACAAACAUUAGUCCAAAAAUUACAAACUUUUCACCAUUAGGCUUCUCUCAUUUUUAUACCCUUUACCGAAACAGUAACUUUCCAUUUUUAGACAAUAACUUCGCAUCUAUAACCCAUUUGAUUCUCAUUCCCAAUCUUUAACUUGAGAUCAAAAAAUCAUUCAACUCCCACACAUUUAGCAUAUCAACCAACAUAUCUCACAAAUUCGUCAAAAAGAAUUUCAAAGCAAAAUUGCAUAAUUACUAUGGACACCCAUAGUCAUACUUCGGGCAUUUCUCAACAUCAACUUGAUACAGUUUUGUAUCUUUAAUCAUUUUAUCAAGACCAAUGUAACUAAGUGAUUAUCUUCUUAUUAUAACCAAUUCUAGACCAUUUCAUUUAUCACAAUAAAACCAAAUUCACAUGAAGUGCACCCACACGGGAAACACAGAAGCCUGUACAGAACUUCCCUUGUUCUCCUACUCCAACACCUCGUCAAACAACAACCCAACAAUUUUAAAUGACAAACAUAGUCCAAACAACAUCGAAACAGUAGCCAAGUAAACCCAUAUUAUAGAGAAUGAAGAGAGAAGUAUGUUUCUGUCACACCUGACCCUGAGUUUAAAUCAGGAAAUAAACCCAAUAAUCCUCAAAUUCAGCUAUUCAAAUACAUCUCCUACAGUUGCUAACUGAUUGGAAAUCACCAAACAAAGGCUAAAACGCUGUCGCCAUCGCCAAGGACAGCAGCCGUACACGGUGGUGUACUCUGCCCCAAAAUCCCAACUUCACCCAAUAUCAACCACACUCGAUUUCAAGCAUCUACAAAUACUCAUACAUGUUCAAUAUCUAACAAAAGCCAGAAUAACAUGAACUAUCGUCGCCGUCGUGCUCAGCAGCACACACGGCGGCCCUCUUCUGCCAAAACUCAACUUCUCCAAAUCUUAACCAAACUGAAAUUGAACAACACAGAGAGAUAGAACUCGAAGAGCAGAUCAUGUUUUAUACCUCAGUUUCCAUCGACGAGGGCUGGAAUCGGCAAACUCAACCUUCUUCUCUCCUUCGUCUCUUUGUAACCGAAGCUCCUUUGCCAAGACCAAGACCCCAGAUUGAAUAGAAACCCCGAGAGAAAGCUAACGGUACCAAUGACUCUUGCCGUCGUGGCCGGGAUCGGAAACAGAUCGGAGAGGCAGUCGCCUUCUUUUCUUCGAUUCUCUCUCAACUCGGCUUCCCAUCGGAAUCUAACACAAGAGAGACGUCGGGGACGGCGAGACGAAGCUCUGGACACCACUCCCGCACCGAGAGACGACCAAACGGCGGAGGAGCGACCGGAGGUCUCCGCCGCUUCUCCCCGGCUCGAGACCGAGUCCCUCUCAGCUUCUUUUUUUUUCUCCUCC